rnacentral:rRNA from 1 species
GACGAACGCUGGCGGCGUGCUUAACACAUGCAAGUCGAACGGAAACGCCCUGCUUUUGUGGGCUGCUCGAGUGGCGAACGGGUGAGUAACACGUGAGUAACCUGCCCUUGACUUUGGGAUAACUUCAGGAAACUGGAGCUAAUACCGGAUAGGAGCUCCCGCUGCAUGGUGGGGGUUGGAAAGUUUCGGCGGGUGGGGAUGGACUCGCGGCUUAUCAGCUUGUUGGUGGGGUAGUGGCUUACCAAGGCUUUGACGGGUAGCCGGCCUGAGAGGGUGAACGGCCACAUUGCGACUGAGAUACGGCCCAGACUCCUACGGGAGGCAGCAGUGGGGAAUAUUGCACAAUGGGCGGAAGCCUGAUGCAGCAACGCCGCGUGCGUGAUGACGGCCUUCUGGGUGUAAACCGCUUUCGCCUGUGACGAAGCGUGAGUGACGGUAAUGGGUAAAGAAGCACCGGCUAACUACGUG